rnacentral:rRNA from 1 species
GGGGAUAACACUUGGAAACAGGUGCUAAUACCGCAUCAACCGGCUGACCGCAUGGUCGGCCGGGCAAAGACGGCGUCAGCUGUCGCUUUUGGAUGAGCCCGCGGCGUAUUAACUAGUUGGUAAGGUAACGGCUUACCAAGGUGAUGAUACGUAGCCGAACUGAGAGGUUGAUCGGCCACAUUGGGACUGAGACACGGCCCAAACUCCUACGGGAGGCAGCAGUAGGGAAUCUUCCACAAUGGACGCAAGUCUGAUGGAGCAACGCCGCGUGUAUGAAGAAGGUCUUCGGAUCGUAAAAUACUGUUGUCAGAGAAGAACACGUGAUAAAGUAACUGUUAUCGCGCUGACGGUAUCUGACCAGCAAGUCACGGCUAACUACGUGCCAGCAGCCGCGGUAAUACGUAGGUGGCAAGCGUUGUCCGGAUUUAUUGGGCGUAAAGGGAACGCAGGCGGUCUUUUAAGUCUGAUGUGAAAGCCUUCGGCUUAACCGGAGAAGUGCAUUGGAAACUGGAAGACUUGAGUGCAGAAGAGGAGAGUGGAACUCCAUGUGUAGCGGUGAAAUGCGUAGAUAUAUGGAAGAACACCAGUGGCGAAAGCGGCUCUCUGGUCUGUAACUGACGCUGAGGUUCGAAAGCGUGGGGAGCGAACAGGAUUAGAUACCCUGGUAGUCCACGCUGUAAACGAUGAAUGCUAGGUGUUGGAGGGUUUCCGCCCUUCGGUGCCGCAGCUAACGCACUAAGCAUUCCGCCUGGGGAGUACGAUCGCAAGAU